rnacentral:rRNA from 1 species
AACGAACGCUGGCGGCAGGCCUAACACAUGCAAGUCGAGCGCCCCGCCAGGGGAGCGGCGGACGGGCGAGUAACGCGUGGGAAUAUGCCCUUUGCUACGGAAUAGUCUCGGGAAACUGGGGGUAAUACCGUAUACGCCCUACGGGGGAAAGAUUUAUCGGCGAAGGAUUAGCCCGCGUUGGAUUAGGUCGUUGGUGGGGUAAUGGCCUAGCAAGCCGAUGAUCCAUAGCUGGUGUGAGAGGAUGAUCAGCCACACUGGGGCUGGGACGCGGUCCAGACUCCUACGCGAUGGAGCAGUGGGGAAUCUUAGACAAUCGCGUCAACCCAGAUCUAGCCAUGCCGCGUGAGUGAUGAAGGCCUGAGAGUUGUAAAGCACUUUAAGCUGGGAAGAUAAUGACGGUACCAGCAGAAGAAGCCCCGGCUAACUCCGUG